rnacentral:rRNA from 1 species
GCCGGUUAUAAACCGGAGGAAGGCGGGGAUGACGUCAAGUCAGCAUGCCCCUUACACCCUGGGCUACACACGUGCUACAAUGGGUGAGACAAUGAGAUGCAACUCUGCGAAGACAAGCUAAUCUAUAAACUCACUCUAAGUUCGGAUUGUAGGCUGCAACUCGCCUGCAUGAAGUUGGAAUCGCUAGUAAUCGCUGGUCAGCUAUACAGCGGUGAAUUCGUUCCCGGGCCUUGUACACACCGCCCGUCACACCAUGGAAGCUGGUUAUGCCCGAAGUCGUUACUCUAACCUUUUUGGAGGAGGAUGCCUAAGGUAGAAUUAGUGACUGGGGUGAAGUCGGAACAAGGUAACCGUACUGAAGGUGCGGUUGGAUCACC